UUUGUUUUGUUUUGCCAAACUUAUACAGCUGUUCCUUGAAAUGCCUCACCGGGUGGCUACUGUUUUACUGCUAUUCACAUUAUCUGGCCCUGUAAAAGCGUCAACUUAUCUGCUAAUGCAUGGAGUAGUUGGUCUCAUCAUGGGUACUGUUUGGAGAUUGGAGACCAACUGGAUUGUCUCCAUCAUCCUAUGCUCCAUUGUA